AUUAUAGUUUUUUUAGGGGUAUAAAAUUUAAUUUAAAAUUUAAUAUAUAUAUAUAUAUAUAUAGUUAUUAUAGUUAAUAUUUUGGGGGUAUAAUUAUUAUAGUAUAUAUAAUUAUUAUAGUUAAUUUAAUAUAUAUAUAUAUAUAUAAUUAUAGUUUUAAACUUUUUAGGGGUAUAAAAUUGUUAAAUUAUUAUAUAUAAUUAUUAUAGUAUUUUUUAGGGUUAUAAAAUUAUUAAAUUAAUAUUCUGCUUAUCGUGUAUCG
rnacentral:lncRNA from 1 species